GUGGAUUCCGAUUUCCUUUAUACUACAUAUCAACUUCUCUCAUUGAAAAGACGAUUUUACCCUCGAUUCAAAAUCGCAACAACCAACCCGAGUCAGAAACCAUCCAUACCAAAAUCAAAAGCCUAUUUUACAUUUGCAUCCAUUUUCACUCUCUUCUUCGUUUUCCCUUCACUCACAAACUUGAUUAAAUCUUCCACAAAACUGAAAAACAGAGCCUCACAUUCAUCACUGAUCGAGGUUCUCUCGCACUUCAUUUCACAAUUCCGAGUUUCUUUUCCAUUAUUUGUUAGCAUUAAAUCAAAAUGUAACGGUGGUUAUGAUUAG